AUAAGAGACAGGUGAAUCAUCGAAUCUUUGAACGCACAUUGCGCCCCUCGGUAUUCCGUGGGGCAUGCCUGUUCGAGCGUCAUUUACACCCUCAAGCUCUGCUUGGUGUUGGGCGUCUGUCCCGCUCUCGGAGCGUGGACUCGCCUCAAAGUCAUUGGCGGCGGUCGUGCCGGCUCCUCGCGCAGCACAUUUGCGCUUCUCGGAGUCCCGGUGGAUCAGCGUCCAUCAAGCUACUUUUACGACUUGACCUCGGAUCAGGUAGGGAUACCCGCUGAACUUAAGCAUAUCAAUAAGCGGAGG
rnacentral:misc_RNA from 1 species